UUAAUAAAUUAAUAAUAUUCAUUCUAAAAAAUUUUAUAAUUCAAAUAUUUGGUCCUUUCGUACUAAAAUAUCUUAAUUUAAUAAAGAUAGAAACCAACCUGGCUCACGCCGGUCUGAACUCAGAUCAUGUAAGAUUUUAAAAGUCGAACAGACUCAAAUAAUAAGCUUCUACACCCAAACUAAAUCUUAAUCCAACAUCGAGGUCGCAAUCUCUUCUAUCGAUAUGAACUCUCUAGAAAAAUUACGCUGUUAUCCCUAAGGUAACUUAAUUUUAUAAUCAAUAAUAUUGGAUCAACAAACAUUCCAUAAAUCAAUGUAAUAAAUUAUUAAAAGUUAAAUAAAUUUUAAUGUCACCCCAACAAAAUACUCUCUUAAAUUAUAUCUGAAAUAAUCUAAAUAGUUAUAAAAAAUAAAAUAUAAAGAUCUAUAGGGUCUUCUCGUCUUUCAAUUAAAUUUUAGCUUUUUAACUAAAAAAUAAAAUUCUAUUAAUUUCCAUGGGACAGAAUGUGUCUCGUCCAACCAUUCAUACAAGCCUUCAAUUAAAAGACUAAUGAUUAUGCUACCUUUGCACAGUUAAAAUACUGCGGCCAUUCAAAUAAAUUUCAGUGGGCAGGUCAGACUUUAUAUUAAAUUCAAAAAGACAUGUUUUUGAUAAACAGGCGAACACAAUAUUUGCCGAAUUCACUAAAGAAACCUAAAAAAUAUAAUCACUUCACACAAAUUCAUAUACUAAUUUAAUCAUUAUUACUCACUUUCCAGUAUUCAAAAAGAAAUUUUAAUAUAUAAACAAAAGACAAAUAAAUAUUUUAAAUAUAAUAACAAAUUAUAACAUAAUUACUAAUGAAAGCUAGUUCUAAGCCUACAUUAUAUUAAAUAAUAAAUAUCUUAUUGACAUAUUAACCAGCUCAUCCCGACUAAUAUUAUUUCAAUUAAUAGCUAAACUUACUAAACAUAAAUUAAACCUUUUAUUAAAACUGAAUUAAAUUCAUUUCUUAAAAAACUAGAUACCACCAGAAACGAUAAACUUUUCAUUUCUAAUAAACUAUUAACUAUAAUUAUGAAACAUUAACAAUAAUAGCUUAUUAACUCCUCUGGAAUCGAGAUAAAUAUAUAAAUAUUAACUAUUUAAUUAACCCUGAUACAAAAGGUACAGCAAUUCAAGCUUUCUUAUAAAAUAAAAAUUUUUCAAUAUAUUUCAAUAAACCUUUACAGUACUAAUAAACUAUAAUUAACAUAAUAUGUUCAAUAUCAAUUACUAAAACGAAACCCUAUAAAAUUAUUCUUAAUAAAAUAAACAACAAUAAAAUAAUAAGAAUAAAUAAAUACUAA
rnacentral:rRNA from 1 species